rnacentral:tRNA from 1 species
GCGCUUUUAGUUCAGUUGGUAGAACGCAGGUCUCCAAAAUCUGAUGUCGUAGGUUCAAGUCCUACAGAGCGCG